GGGGAAUAUUGCACAAUGGGGGAAACCCUGAUGCAGCAACGCCGCGUGAAGGAUGAAGGUUUUCGGAUUGUAAACUUCUUUAGUCAGGGACGAAUAAAUGACGGUACCUGAAGAAUAAGCCACGGCUAACUACGUGCCAGCAGCCGCGGUAAUACGUAGGUGGCUAGCGUUGUUCGGAAUCACUGGGCGUAAAGCGCACGUAGGCGGACUUUUAAGUCAGGGGUGAAAUCCCGGGGCUCAACCUCGGAACUGCCUUUGAUACUGGAAGUCUGGAGUCCGAGAGAGGUGACUGGAACUCCGAGUGUAGAGUUGAAAUUCGUAGAUAUUCGGAAGAACACCAGUGGCGAAGGCGGCUCACUGGCUCGGUACUGACGCUGAGGUGCGAAAGCGUGGGGAGCAAACA
rnacentral:rRNA from 1 species